GUGCUUGUUUCAGCAGCAUGUAAACUAAAAUUGGAACAAUAAAGAGAAAAUUAGCAUGGCCCUUACACAAGGAUGACACUCAAAUUUGUGAAGUGUUCAUACCUUGA
ensembl:snRNA U6 U6 spliceosomal RNA